UCAUGAUAUAUUAUACUGCGAGUUUCUGGAUUUACCUCUGACAUUAACAUGUUAAAUUUAUGAACAGUAGGAUUCAAAUAGUAUUUCUUUGGCAAAAGUAACGACCUUAGAUCUUGGUAUACAUUACAUACUAAUACAAAAUGAUAUUCGUCUUCAAUAUAUCGUUCUUUGCAUACAAGAUAUAAUCUAUCAACUUUAGUUUCAUUAGCAUAUCUGCCAGUUUCAAUUCCGGUGUGAAAAACAUCUAAAUUGAUAGGA